GGUAGGUGGAGGAUUAGAGUUGGCUGGGUGCUGGUAGGUGGAGGAUUAGUGUUGGCUGAGUGCUGGUAGGUGGAGGAUUAGUGUUGGCUGAGUGCUGGUAGAUGGAGGAGCAGUGAUGUUGGCUGGGUGCUGGACUGGUAGGUGGAUGAUUAGUGUUGGCUGAGUGCUGGUAGGUGGAGGAGCUGUUUGCUGGUUGUUGGAUGUUGAAGCUUGGCUACUGUUGGUCCUUUUCAUCUUUUUAGAUUGGCUCUUGCUUCCAAGAUGUCCAUCGUUUAAGUGUUGUUUUUUUCUGUCAUUUCGUAUUUUUUUUAGCCUCUAUCCUCAACCUCAGCCGUAUAAAUCUUUAGGAGAUUUUUUCUUCUACUCCACAGCAUGAUGGAAGCCUGCUGGAGAGUGACUGAGCUUCUUUCUCCAAGACAUCCACUGCAUUGGGGAGCUCCAUGAGAUGCUGGCAAAUCUGAUUAAUUUGUGGACAAUGUAGCCUGCAAGAUGGAAGAGAAUACAUUUCUCAGUUUUGGAAGUCUGCCAAAAAGCUACUGUCAUCUUCCUGGUAGCUCCCAGAUCUGACGGUUGUGAGGAACUGCCCUACAGAUAUAAUUCUCAGUGCAUGAUGGAAUUCCACUGGAGUUGGUAUGGGAUUUUUAGACCUCACACAGCUGAAUGUAUUUUCAAGGCAGUCUUGUGUGAACCUUGAAGUUAACACAAACCUGUGUCCUCGUGUCAGCAUCUCUUCCUGUAUGCCCAAAACUGAUUUUGUUGCCAUUAUCACCCCUUUUUGAAUAGGCUUCCAUCUCCCUUAUGACCAAUCUUCAUCCCAUGGAACAGAUGGAUGAUAUCCUGUAGGAAGAUGAUGGCCUUUUCAUACUCCUCUAUCUUGACCCUGCUCAGUGCUGUAAUUGGAUGGCGAGAUGACAUUAGAUCAAACCAAUGAUCCACUUGCUCCAAGAACCACGCUGUAGUCAGGUAGGAGAGAGGGCGGUUUUCUUGCUGCACCAUAUACUUCAGCCCAGCACUUGUUGCCUUACUAAAAACAUUAAGAGCAGGACCAACCUUCAUUUUUUCAAAGUGGCUUGGCUCUAUGGCUGCAGCUGAUAGAUGGGGAGCUACUUUUAAUGCCAUCCCUUCUUGAAAGGACAAUAAGUCCUUAAUAGGGUCCACUGAAACCUCGUUGGAAGAUGUUUUGGCGUGGUCGACCCCAAAGGAUUUCCACAUGGCCUGGUUAGGGCUACCCAUAUCGGUGGUGACAGCAAGCACAUGUAGCCCUAUGGAUGCUGCCCUCUCUAUUAUUUCUGUAAUUAUUGGCUUGUACUCUGCUCCAUUGGUAGAAUUACCACUGUAAUGAUAUGCCACUACUUGUUUCCACCGAGUGGUGUUUCCAGCCAACAUAAACACACAAGCAUGUGUUGCUACUCCUGUGUGACCUGGCAAAGUGACAUCACCAUAGAGUUUGCCUGUGAGCAUGUGCAGCUCCACACUUGGAGUGAUUACCAUUUCAUCCAAAGACAGCACACACUCCCUUUCAAGGGUUCUGAUUGCUGGCAAGGGAAUCUGCAAUUCCUGUAGGGUCUUGUAACCAGUUGGACCGGCUGCAAAGCGAAUUUUUAAUGCCUUCUUAAUUGUGUCAUUGCUCCAUUUCAUCCCUUUUGAGACCCAGGUAACUGGCUGAUGGCUCACUGGUAUGCUGACUGGCUGCUGGCUGACUGGGUCUAGGGGUGCAUCGUGGUGCAGGGGCCCUCCUCUUUUUGACCACAGGACGAUGCACAAAGAUGAUUGCUCCUGCUGACUUGAGCCAACCAUUUUUUCUCCUCUCCAUGUCAGUGGGGAAGCCAUAAAUUCGCACACCUUUCUCUGAGCGAUUGGAGCAUCCCCAUGCAGCACAGCAAACCAUGGUGGAGACAAUGCAACGACAACAUGAAAGAAAGGACACAUACAAAAUGCUUGGCAUGCUAUUUAAUUUAUUAGAAAUGUAUUCAUGAAUUGCUGUAAAUAGUUAAUUGCAUUUAUUCAAAUAAAAAUA